AAAACAAAACAAACCAAAAAUUUUAGGUUGGACUGCCUAUCUUAGAAAGUCCUAUUGGUAUUGCCUUUCUGGGAUCUAUUCUAAAGAAAGAGACAUGUGGCUGGUCAGAUGCACUUUAUGGGCUUUUUUUAAAUGGGCUUUUAAAUUAAUAAUAUGUGAGGUUGUUUUUGUUGUUAAGAAGUACAAUUAUUUGGAGUUCCCAUCAUGGCUCAGUGGUUAACGAAUCCAACUAGGAACCAUGAGGUUGCGGGUUCGAUCCCUGGCCUCGCUCAGUGGGUUAAGGAUCUGGCAUUGCCGUGAGCUGUGGUGUAGGUCACAGACGCAGCUUGGAUCUCGAGUUGCUGUGGCUCUGGUGUAGGCUGGUGGUGACAGCUCUGAUUAGACCCCUAGCCUGGGAACCUCCAUAUGCCGUGGGAGCGGCCCUAGCAAAGACAAAAAAAAGAAAAAAAAGACCAAAAAAAAAAAAAAAAAAAGGCGUGCAAUUAUUUAAAAUAAAAAUGAGUCCACAGGAGUAGCACUAAAUCUUAUCUGGUGGUUUCCUGGGUUUUUUGUUUUUAUUUUUUGUUUUGCCGUUGAACACUCGGCAACACAUUCAUUUUGAUUCUGAGGGCAGUAUGAAAAGAGUCUUUUCCUCAAGACCUCCUGGCUUUAUCACUUAGCUCUCUCCACAGGCAUGCCAUCUGCCUGGAGGAGUAUACACCUGCAGCCCAGUUCAGACUGGCAAAGUCCCCCGGAGAUGAACUCAUUCAACCAACCACGGACCUCCGUGUCGCUCUCCACUUAAAAACUAAAGGGGCCUGCUCAGGGUCACAGGGCUGGUCAAAGGCAGAACCAGACCCGAUGUCUGCAUUCAAGUUCUUUCUCUUCCACACCAAGACUGUCUCAGCUUCCUGAGCUCCAGAGGAUGGUGUCACAGUGACUUUGGAGCGACAAGACACAAAUGUCACUUCCUUUCCUCGAAGACCCCAAAAGAUCUGUCACCUCUCCCGCUUUGACAGCCUGCAGAUAUGGAGACGGGCAAUUGCUCAAAGAUGUCAGUGUGGUGACCACAGAUUUGUACCUGAUGGAUCUAAGAGGCUCUGCUUUGGGGUUUCCAGUUCUCUUCCGCAAGAGACCCGGCGUUGUGGGCUUGAAGGAAUUUGGGACAACAUCAUCAGUGGCAAUGACUUCAAGAGCCCUAUUCAACAUAAGAAACGUUGAAAGGACUGGGGCUGAGUAAGGUAGCAGACUUUUGCAAUGCAAAGGACCAUAGGAAAAAAAAAAAUGGGCAAAUCCUUUGCUUGUGCAGCCACAGAGAUCAAGGCUUUCAGGGACUGGGACACACCCCGGCCGGUCCCUGGCAGAGCAGGUCCCCAAACCCGGGUUCCCUCGCCUGGCUCCGUGCCUGGUCCAUCUUACCAGCUGCCUCU
rnacentral:lncRNA from 1 species